rnacentral:tRNA from 1 species
UGCCGAAUGGUGUAAUUGGUAGCACGACUGACUCUGGAUCAGUUAGUCUAGGUUCGAGUCCUAGUUCGGCAGCCA